rnacentral:lncRNA from 1 species
GACGACUCAACAACCCUGAUAGGUUUUCGAUAAAAGUAGAUCCGCUUCAUUUUCUUAUCGCUAAUUGUUUUUUUCUUACAUCAAGUUGUAAUUUGUCUGAAUCUGUUAUUUGCUAGUAUUGAAAAAAAGCCAAUUUGCAGAGCAAGGACGCCUAAAAAAUGUGACGAAACUUGCAUUGAAGGUUGGCAAAAUCAAAACAGUUUCUGCGAUUCUCCGUGCCUAUCAAAUCUCUUAAUUUUGAAUAUGGCCUCGAACAAAUCGCAACAUAUCAAUCUACAAUCGUAAUUGUUAGGGUUUAAUGUUUUUUUAGUGAUCAAUUUGUUUGUCAUCUCUUUUUUUGCAAAUAAAGAGAAAAGCCAAUUUGCAGAGCAAGGGCGCCUAACAAAUGUGACGAAACUUGCAUUGAAGGUUGGCGAAAUUAAAAAAGUUUCUGUGAUUCUCCGUGCCUAUCAAAUUUUUUAAUUUUGAAUACGGCCUCGAACAAAUCGCAACAUU